rfam:Nicotiana attenuata strain TT scaffold02421, whole genome shotgun sequence.
GGAUGCGAUCAUACCUGCACUAACGCACCUAAUCCCAUCAGAACUCCAAAGUUAAGCAUGCUUGGGCGAGAGUAGUACUAGGAUGGGUGACCCUCUGGGAAGUCCUCGCAUACCUCUUUUU